rnacentral:lncRNA from 1 species
GUCCAGUUGGGCUCCUCGGCUUCCUCUGCACACACGUCCCCUGUGCCUGCCAUGGGACCACAGACAGAGGAUGUGCUGGAGCUUGCACUUUCUGUGUAAUAUGCCUUGGAGGUCUCUACAUACAGACACAUACGGUUUGGCUUUUUUCCUUUUUGCUUUUUUUUCUUUUCGCUUUUACAUAUAUUUUUUAUUUUAUGCAUGAUAUUUACCUAUUAAAAAAAAUAAAGGGUGGGAGUGUCUCACUUUGUUGCUUAGCCUGGCUUCAAGUGAUUCUCUCGCCUUGAUCUUCCAAACUUGCUGGAUUAGAGGUGUGCGCCACCACUCCCAGCCUCUUUUAACGUUUAAAUUUUGAAAUAAAGUGCUGUUCAGAAAGGUUGUGGAGGGGACUUAAAUCUCCUGGGUGUGUUGCACCUGCCAGGUCGCUAGUAAGUGGCUAAGCUGGCCUGAGAACCCAGGAGUCCCGUGCUGACACUGUUGCCUGCUGUGCUGCCCACUGUGCGGUGGUAUGUGGGCAUCUGUCACCUUAUUCUACUGCAGUGUGUGUAAGACAUCUGCCCGUCUCGUAGGCAAAGCUUGCCAUCAAAGUGCUGGGUGAUGUGUGUCUCUCCUGUGUCUGUGUGCCCCUUUCUCCCCAGCCUGCAUUUUAUUAAUAAUUGGUGUAAUGUCUCAUCUUGACCUUUGCCUGUCUUUCUGUUGGGUUGGUUUGUUUUUCAUUGCUCGCUCUUUCUCUCCUAUGGGGGCUAAUUAGGGAAAUAAACUGAGUAGCUUUUUAAAAAUGUCAUUUCCCAGGCCCCUGCCCCAGAGAUUCUGUGUGGAUCAGCAGGAGGCCUCAGGUUCUGUGUUGUUUAAAAGCUUCCUGGGAGGGUCUGAUGUGUAGCCAGUUUGGGUGAGGGGCCCUGGAGAACCUUGGAAAUGGGAGUCAGUUGUUACAGCUCUGAGCUUUAUGCCACAGAUAGAAAAUGAUGAAUGUAGGCUGGGUGCGGUGGCUCACACCUGUAAUCCCGGCACUUUGGGAGGAUGAAGCAGCAGAUCACUUGAGCUCAGGAGUUUGAGACCAGCCUGGACAAUAGGGCGAAACCCUGUCUCUACAAAAAUAGAAAAAUUAGUCAGGCAUGGUGGUGUGCACCUGUGGUCUCAGCUACUGAGGAGGCUGAGGUGGGAGGAUCACUUGAUCCUGCAGUGAGCUGUGACUGAGCCACUGUACUCCAGGCUGGACAACAGAACAAGACUGGGUCUCAAACCCAAAAAACCUACAAAAAAUAAAUUACGGAAGUUGGCUAUUAGUGUUCUGUACCUUAUUAGGAGCACUGUUUUGCAUUAAAGCAUUUUGGCAUAUUCUCUUUAUUUAUUUGAGACGGAGUCCCGCUCUGUCACCCAGGCUGGAGUACAGUGGCGCAAUCUCAGCUCACUGCCACCUCUGCUUCCCAGGUUCAAGCGAUUCUUCUGCUUCAGCCUCUUAAGUAGCUGGGAUUACAGGCAUGCGCCACCACGCCUAGCUAAUUUUUGUAUUUUUAGUUGAGACGGGGUUUCACCAUGUUGGUCAGGCUGGUCUCGAACUCCUGAUGUUGUGAUCCGCCCACCUUGGCCUCCUGAAAUGCUGGGAUUACAGGUGUGAGCCACUGCGCCCGGCCUGGCAUAUUCUAUUUAGAGCUGUCUGCCUGAGUCCUGAGCCAGCAGUUGAGAUGUGAAACAUGUAGUCUGCCCUCCAGCUGUCCAAACAGCUGGCCUGACUGCUGUCCCCUCUGAACUAAUGGCCACAGUGGCCCUGUGCGGAUGUGCCCGUGGCUCUGAGAGGCCUAGGUUUGCUUUGGAUUAUGUGAGUCCUUGGCUGUGCUAUGCUAGAAGAACUGUGCCUGUAGGUUUUCUGAGGCGUGGGCCAACCUCUUCUCUUCCAUGAAUGCCCCUUGACAUCUGAAAGCAGGAUUCUGGAUUAGGCAGUAAAAUGCAAACUUGGAGGGAAGCAGCCUAUGCCUGGGCCUCUGGUCUGGAGACCACAGCCUUCCAUCUACACCAUGUGGGGCCAGAGAAUCUUAGUCUCAUGCACACGUGCAUAAUCUCCA